GAAAAAGAUGAGAGGCCACUGUGGUAGACUUUUCUUCAUGUGGUCAACCUUACUGAGAGCCCACUGUGUGCCAGGCACUGUGCUAGGCUGGGAAUUCACAGAUGAGGACAUGAUCCUCUCCUCACCACAGUUACAAACCAGAGAAGCAAAGGUAUCACCCAGGUCAGAGAACAAGAAAGACAGCAUGCUCGCAGGAGGACAACUCUAGGUUCUGAGAAAAAGUGGAGGAUGAUCUAAUGAAGGCAUUUCAGCGCAGAGACCACGCUGCCCAGAAGCAGAGCAGCGAGAACAGACCUGGACGGCUAUGGGAAGCACUUUGUUAAGACAGGGUACCAGGCCAUCCAAUCACACAAUAUUUAUGCCCUUCACGUUUUAAAACUACUUUUUGUAGUCAAAAGUGCUUCCACCUUCAACUUGCCAUGAAUAAUGACUGCUAACUAAACUAACAAAACAAAAAUGCUUUAAAAGCUGUGCACCCCUGCAGAAAUCUGUACCAGAAUCUCACUGCUAUAAACUGAAUUGUGUACCCCCAAAUUUGUGUGGUGAAGCUCUCACCUUACGUGACUGUAUUUGGAGAUAGGGCC
rnacentral:lncRNA from 1 species